rnacentral:rRNA from 1 species
GAUGAACGCUAGCGGCAGGCUUAACACAUGCAAGUCGAGGGGUAUAGAAAGCUUGCUUUCUAGAGACCGGCAAACGGGUGCGGAACACGUACACAACCUACCUUUAUCAGGGGGAUAGCCUUCGGAAACGGAGAUUAAUACCCCAUAGUAUUAUGGAGUGGCAUCAUUUUAUAAUUAAAGAAUUUCGGAUAGAGAUGGGUGUGCGUAAGAUUAGCUAGUUGGUGAGGUAAAGGCUCACCAAGGCAACGAGCUUUAGCUGAUGUGAGAGCAUGAUCAGCCACACGGGCACUGAGACACGGGCCCGACUCCUACGGGAGGCAGCAGUGAGGAAUAUUGGUCAAUGGACGGAAGUCUGAACCAGCCAUGCCGCGUGAAGGAUGAAGGCGUUCUGCGUUGUAAACUUCUUUUAUUUAGGAAGAAACCACUUUUUUUUAAGAGUGUUGACGGUAUUAAAUGAAUAAGCACCGGCUAACUCCGUGCCAGUAGCCGCAGUAACAC